GCAGGGUGACGUAUGCAGUAGUAAAAGCUGCUGAUCUUGGUGACUAGCUGCUCAGUAAACAGUCAAACUCCAACCGGAACAGGAUCCAGCUGCAGCCUGCCUACAAACUAAAUGGCACGCUUGGCACAAACACAAACCCUUUUGACUUCUUUCAAGCAUUGUAAAACAAUCAAUUUGAGUAUGUUCCCACUCCAACAAAUCUAAAUGGAUGCCUCCUGCUAGACUGUUUGAGAAACAAGAACUGACACUGAGAUGAACUAGAGCUGAGGAGUUGCAGCUGGGUGGCAACAAAAAGUUGAUUGGUCUAUGGGCUGAUGACCUGCAAUCAAUAACAAAAGUCUUUAUCCUGUCAACAACCAUGUGAUUGGAUCUGAGGUUCACAGCUUGGCACUGGAAACAAGAUAGAGAAGUGUCUUGAUCUCCACCAGCACAGGAGUCGUCUCUCUGUUCUCUGCAGUUAAAACCCAUUUUAAACCUGAAGAAAACCAGUUUGUUUUUCAUUCAGCAAUUGUUGUAAACUGCAACUUUUAAUUGAUAAGUCAGAGAUCUUUUAUAAGCAAAGCAUCCCUCUUAUCUCUUGCAAACCAUCUGAAAGCAUCAGAGAAGGACGACUGAAAAGCAAUGUUCUGACCAGUUCAAGGCUCAUCGGAAUCAGCUCAGCAACCUAUUAAUAGCAAUGACUGAACUGCCUUCCAGAUUUUCUUCUAUUUUUCCUUGUCUGCAAAUCUGUAUCUGUGCGUGUAAGGGAGAGUUUAUAAGGGGAUUAGCGUUUUAACUUGUAGUUUAUAUGCUGAUCGUUAAUAAUUGUUUACCUGUUCCUAGACUUUACCAGCAAUAAAUAGUAACUCUUAUUAAGUACA